UACGUAGGAGGCGAGCGUUGUCCGGAGUUACUGGGCGUAAAGCGCACGCAGGCGGUCUUUCGCGUUGCCACUGACAGUGUCUGGCUCAACUGGGCAAGGCGUGGCAAAACGGAAAGACUUGAGGGCUUCAGAGGAAGAGAGAAUUCCGGGUGGAGUGGUGAAAUGCGUAGAGAUCCGGAGGAAUACCAAAGGCGAAGGCACUCUUCUGGGAAGUUCCUGACGCUCAGGUGCGAAAGCUAGGGGAGCGAACGGG
rnacentral:rRNA from 1 species